rnacentral:rRNA from 1 species
UAGGGAAUCUUCCACAAUGGACGAAAGUCUGAUGGAGCAACGCCGCGUGAGCGAAGAAGGUUUUCGGAUCGUAAGGCUCUGUUGCUGGAGAAGAACGAGUGCGAGAGGAAGUGCUCGUACUGUGACGGUAUCCAGCCAGAAAGCCACGGCUAACUACGUGCCAGCAGCCGCGGUAAUACGUAGGUGGCAAGCGUUGUCCGGAAUUAUUGGGCGUAAAGCGCGCGCAGGCGGCUUCUUAAGUCUGAUGUGAAAUCUUGCGGCUCAACCGCAAACGGUCAUUGGAAACUGGGAAGCUUGAGUGCAGAAGAGGAGAGUAGAAUUCCACGUGUAGCGGUGAAAUGCGUAGAUAUGUGGAGGAAUACCAGUGGCGAAGGCGGCUCUCUGGUCUGUAACUGACGCUGAGGCGCGAAAGCGUGGGGAGCAAACAGGAUUAGAUACCCUGGUAGUCCACGCCGUAAACAAUGAAUGCUAGGUGUUAGGGGGGUCCAACCCCUUAGUGCUGAAGUUAACACAUUAAGCAUUCCGCCUGGGGAGUACGACCGCAAGGUUG